rnacentral:rRNA from 1 species
GGUGCUAGAAUAUUCGACCGCCUCGUCUCCUUUGUCUCUCUAAGCGGUUCUUUUUCUUCUUCGCUCUCCUCUCUUUUCGCUUUGGGAUUUGGGGGCAUAAGGGUCUGGAAGCUAGGCUAGGCUGGGCUUGGCUGGCCGCCGCUACCGCAGACGCGGCCACCUCUUCGAGUUCUCGGACACCUUGAGGGUCCAGUACCUGCUCCUCGUCACCCGCCAGUUGAUAUCUCACGAUUUCCGACGCCCCUAUAAACGACCUAGGUAGAAAAACUACGCGUGGAAACCACUGUACUACCAUCAAAUUCCCUCAGCAUCACCGACUCGUCCCAUUACCACCAAGGUACGGGUAAAAGCAACACACGGAAUACUAGUCCGAACACCUUAUAAAAAUGAGUCUGAACACCCAAAGAACAAUUCCACCACAAACUUCGUAAAGAGCCGUCCCAAUAAACUGAACAAGAAAAACUCAGCUCGUGAACAGAAGAUACUCAUUAUUCAUUUUACAGGUCAAACGACAAUCCGGUGGUG